GGCGGAGGAGGGUCCCGUGCUUCGCGGAAAGCCGGGGCGUGGGAAGGGCCUGCAGCGCGAGGUCCGGCUGUGUGUCCCUUUCAGCGCUUGGGGCCGAGGCCGGGAUGGCUCCUUGGAGCUUCCAGUAUUUACUUAGCACCUACUACGUGCCCAGCCCUGUGGAUACAGAGAUGAACAAAGCCUAAUUCCUGCUCACAAAAGACUUUCUGACUAGUGAUGUGACUACCCUGUUUAUGAAGAGAGAAAAACUGAGAGCCAGGGAAGGAACAGACCGGCUCAGGAUCACACAGCUUGAGGGACUGCCCUGGUCUGAAGUAAUUUCCUCUACAAAUUUCAAGUAAAUCUUUGAAAUGGAGCAAAGUCCACUACAAUGCAAAACUUGUCUCUGUUCUGCGUGUGGAGCCCAUCUCAAAUAAAGGUGGGCGAAGCUCUUAUCUCUGGGCGGUGGAUAAAGAAGUGACUGUCUCGUGUUCCUCUGGAGCUUUCUCAGUUCCAGGGCUGGAUACCACUGUCUGAUCCUGCCUCCUUUCCUGCGCUGGACCAAGGCCCAGAUGAGCAGCUGGGGACACAAGGCUGAAUGGAGCAGCAGGAAGAGGCUGUAGGCGGCAGAGUUCAUUCAGAAGAAAGCCCUACUCAGAGCUGCUGAGGGCACCUCAUGGUGGUAGUGGUGGUGGGGGCUUUACCACUCCCCCCUGGCUGCAAGGGUACAAACUCCAACAAACCCCUCUCCCUCUGACCAGUAUCUGUUACCAACUUCAGGAAGGGGGUAUGGAACCCUAAGUCCCUGCCAUUUUACUCCUAGGAUCUGUGCCAGACCAUCCUUAGCAAGACUUGAUCCAACCUCUCCCCAUUUUAUAGAUGAAGAAGCAGAGGUGCAGGAAGGAAAGCUGGUGGCAUGGCCCAGGCUCACGGGGGGAGGCAGAAGCAGAGGCAGGACUAGAACCCAGGUCUUCCCACUACAAGUCCUCUCCCCUCCUCCACUUGGCCUGUGUGCAGAAGUGUGCUCCCUUUGACUGGGACCGGGGGCGGUCCUCAGAGAACAGGGUGACCCAGAUCUCCUUAAUGGAGGGCUGGGAGACCUCACACCCCACGCCUCCCUGACUCAGGUUCCUGUCCCUUGGCUUGUUUCCCCACCGUCAGUCUAGCAAAUUGGGACAAUUUAGACGGAAGUCCAAGAUGUACAACCCUUGAAGUCUCUAUGCAUUUGGCUCUUGUCUGGCCAAGUUCAUCUUAGUCCCAGGAGGUAGAGGCCAG